rnacentral:misc_RNA from 1 species
GAAACAGUUGAGCACAAAACGAGGUUGGUUCUAUUGUUCUGCGUUUCAGGAAUCGAAUUUAUUUUACAAAAACUAUGGGGACUGAAAUUAAAAGUUGAAAUUUGAAGCUUUUGCUCCCUAUCAAUUUGAUUGUUUACAAAAACAGCUCAGCCUAAGCCCUAAUUACUACCAACAACGCAAUAACUACUAAAUCUAGAGUCUUGAAUUUUUGUG